rnacentral:lncRNA from 10 species
UCCUUGUGGGGAGAGAAAAUAGCCCGAACACCUGCUCUCCGAGGUGUCAGUUGCCGACAGAUCUCCUUUGUAUACUCUCUAUACAUAUGAUUUUAGAGGAAGGACCCUUUAGGAGUCUUAGGCCAACCCACUCAUUUCACAAUGGAGCCAACACAAUGUCAGAGAAGUAAACAGACUGCAGUGCAAGGGGUGUGGUGGUUCGAAUCCCUGCAGGCCACUUCCAAGCUCUGCGCCUGGGGAUUUAUCACACAGAUAAUCUUGCAAAAGCGCAUAAAGACUUCAGAAGAAGGCUAUUUGCUGCAGCAUGGAUUGUGAUUAGCAGAAGACUAGAAAAAAAAGACCAAGUGGCCAGUAGGAGGUGAUUUAAUUAAACAAAUUAUGAUGCACCUGAACAAUGGAAUGCUCUGUGCUCUUACAAGAAAUGAGGUUCAUGUAGAUGUGCUGAAACAGGCUGACAUAUGAGACAAGUUGUUAGUGAAAAAUGCAAGGUAAGAACAGUGUGUCCGUUAUACUCACAUUUGUGGGGGGUGCUAAGAAGAGGUGUUUGUGUGUAUUUAUGAAAUCAUCUUUUGCUAUCUAAAUCUAUUUGGUUUCUGAAUUCAGAUAUCUAGGGUUCAGAAAGCAAGGAAUGCUACAUUACUGGAAUCUUUGACUCCUACAUUUCAUUUCAGACAGCAAACAGCAAGAGUCAGAUAGCAGAUAGUUCAUCCAAGAGGUGGUCUGAAUCCAUUUAGUUUUCUGCGUUGGAAUAGUAUUUGGAUAACUAGAGUAGAUAGUAGAGACAUCUGUAUAUGUAUAAUUCUCACACCUAUUUAUAUGUGGACUCUCUGGGAAGACACACAAGAAAUUGAUUAGUAAUGAUUUUUGCAACAGGGAGUAAGUCGGCCCUGAGGGGACAAAGUGAAAGGCAAACUUAUGUUCUCAGUUUUCAUAUAUGUUGUGGUCAUUUUUUUAUUUUUCAGAUGGAGUCUUGCUUUUAUCGCCCAGGCUGGAGUGCAAUGGCGCAAUUUCAGCUCACUGCAAUCUCUGCCCCCUGGGUUCAAGCGAUUAUUCUGCCUCAGCCUCCUGAGUAGCUGGGAUUACAGGCGCCCGCUACCAUGCCCAGCUAAUUUUUGCAUUUUUAGUAGAGAUAGGGUUUCACCAUGUUUGCCAGGCUGGUCUUGAUCUCUUGACCUCAGGUGAUCUGCCUGUCUUGGCCUCCCAAAGUGUUGGGAUUACAGGCGUGAGCCGCUGUGCCUAGCCGUCGUGAUGGUUUUAAAACAUGGUCCCAGACUUCUUUGAGAGGUGAGGUCUAUGUCUUUGCCCAUUGAAUCUGAGUAGGUUUGCAAUUGGUAUAGGCCAAUCAGGAAUGGCUGGGGUGACAUUUUAUGACUUUUUUUUGUUCUUAUUUGAGACGGAGUCUUGCUCUGUUGCCCAGGCUAGAGUGCAGUGGUGCGAUCUCAGCUCACUGCAACCUCCGCCUCCCAAGUUCAAGCAAUUCUCCUGCCUCAGCCACCCGACUAGCUGGUAUUACAGGCACCUGCCACUGUGCCUGGCUGAUUUUUGUAUUUUUAGUAGAGAUGGGGUUGAACCAUCUUGGCCAGGCUGGUCUCAAACUCUUCACCUCAUGAUCCACCCGCUUCAGCCUCCUAAAGUGCUGGGAUUACAGUUGUGAGCCACUGCGCCCGGCCCAUUUUACGACUUUUAAGGCUAGGUCAUGGAAGGGUCAUGCAGUUGCUUCUCGUUCUCUUGGAUUGCUUGCUUUUGGCAUGCUCUCUCUCUGAUCCUCACCACCAUGCUGGGAGAAGCCCAAGCCAGAUGCAGCAGCCCCACAGAGGCACUGCAGUUCACAUUCCCACCUCAGCUCCCCGCUCACGGCUAAUAUCAUAUGCCAGCCAUGUGAGUGUGCAUCUUGAAAGUUAAAUCCCAGGCCGGGCAUGGUGGCUCACGCCUGUAAUCCCAGCACUUUGGGAGGCCAAGGCAGGUGGAUCAUGAGGUCAGGAGUUCAAGACCAGCCUGGCCAAGAUGGUGAAACCUAUCUCUACUAAAAAUACAAAAAUUAGCCAGGCAUGGUGGCAGGCACCUGUAAUCCAAGCUACUCGGGAGGCUGAGGCAGAGAAUUGCUUGAACCCAGGAGGUGGAGUUUGCAGUGUGCCAAGAUUGUGCCACUGUGCUCCAGCCUGGGCAACAGAGCAAGACUCUGUCUCAAAAAAAAAAAAAAAAAAAAAAAAGUUAAAUCCUAGGCCAGGUGCGGUGGCUCACACCUGUAAUCCCAGCACUUUGGAGGGCCAAGGCAGGUGGAUCAUCUGAGGUCAUGAGUUCAGGACCAGCCUCUCCAACAAUGUAAAACCCCAUCUCUACUAAUAAUACAAAAAUUAGCCAGGUGUGGUGGCACAUGUCUGUAAUCCCAGCUACUAGGGAGGCUGAGGCAGGAGAAUCACUUGAACCUGGGAGGCAGAUGUUGCAGUGAGCCGAGAUCGUGCCAUUGCACUCCAGCUUGGGCAACAAGAGUGAAACUCUUGUCUCCAAAAAAAAAAAAAAAAAAAAAAAAAAGUUCAGUCCCAGUCAAACAUUCAGAUGAUGUUUUUCCCAUGUGACUGCAACAACACCUGAGACCCCAGGUCUCAUCUGAACUGGGUCAAGACAUAAAACCACAAGAGAUCAUAAUACAUUGUUGUUUUAAUCCACUACACUCUGGUGUGUGUGUGAAUAUUAACUGGAACAUUUACAUUACCACAUGCAUUACCUAUUCGAAAUUCAGAGUAUCUUCCUUGU